rnacentral:misc_RNA from 1 species
UACGAGGGGUCCUAGCGUUGUUCGGAAUCAUUGGGCGUAAAGCGGGUGUAGGCGGCCAUGUAAGUCAGAAGUGAAAGCCCCGGGCUCAACCCGGGAUGUGCUUUUGAUACUGUGUGGCUUGAGUGCUGAAGAGGUCAGUAGAAUUCCUGGUGUAGAGGUGAAAUUCGUAGAUAUCAGGAGGAAUACCGGAGGGGAAGCCGGCUGACUGGUCAGACACUGACGCUCAGACCCGAAAGCGUGGGUAGCAAACAGG